rnacentral:tRNA from 1 species
AAUAAGAUGCCUGAGAAAAGGAUUAUUUUGAUAGAAUAAAUCAUGUAUAAAUUUAUACUCUUAUUG